GUUCUUUUGUUGAGAAAGUGUGGUUUUAAUUUCAGUUGAAGAUUGUCUAAAAUAUGUUGUUUAGAAGCAAAUGGAUUACUUCUGGAAUUUGUUUUUCUAAUUGGAAGACUAUGCUGCAACAGACGAUCAGGUAGUAUGGUUCACUUAUUUUAUAGUGUUUUCUCUUUGAUCAGGUGAUUAUCAGCAUAUUUUGAACAAUACAUGGAAUUUAAAUAUGGAAAGAGAUUUCAUACCAGAAUUUUGAGAGGCUUGUUGCUUUACGUGAAUAGAUGUUCUUAGCUUUAGACUGCCCAUGUUUCUGCUGUCUAUCAUGAGCUACCUUUUCAUGUCCCAAGGUUAGUAUACUAAUCUUCCUCAAUAUAAAUCUUUAACUUUCUUCUCUCUCUCUCUUUUUGGGAAUCACAGUGAAGAGGAGCUGGUAGAAUUUAUGUAAGACUUUGUUUUUCUUGAUUUUGCAAGUUGUAUAAUUUUUACUUUUGGUGGUGUCUAUCUAUCAAAAGACUGGUAACGGUAAACCUGGGAAACAAGAUUUUUAAAAAUUUUAUCUGAGUGUUUAGAUAAGCCUCUAUCUGGCUUUUCUAGAGUCUAGCCCCACUUUACCAAAACUUAGUUUCUUCUUAGUUUCUUAUGACCUUUCAUACUGUAUCAUAUCACUUUAUCCAUACCAGUCACUCUGGGGUAUCUUUAUCUUCACCUGUUGAAAUCUUGCCCAUAUUUCAGGACUGGGCAUAGAUUCUAAACCAAUAAAUCUCCCUUACUAUAUCGUUCCUUCUGAGAACUUAGCUGUAUUUUGUACUAUGUAACAUAGUAAAUUACUAAUAUUAUGUAAAACUUAGUAUUUUAUUCAUGUGAGAAAGGGGAUACAAGGGAAGUACCAUAUUUUAUAUUUCUUGUAGGAAUUUAAAACAAUGUUUGACUGUUCAAUGCUUAAUUUUUUUUGGUUUAAUUGAUAUAGAAAGCUGAAAUUUAUCUAAAUGAUCCUUUUGUAGAUUCAACAAAUAUAUAGGAAGUUCCUACUAUAUGCCAGGCAAUGUUGAUGGAGCUGGAAAUAAAGCAGCAAACAAAACAAAGUCCUUGUCUUCAUGGAACUUAAAUUCUUUUAGAUGUAAUGUGCCAGAUUUCUCUCAUGGUUGAUCAGGAUUCAAAAAAAAAAAAUAAUUUUUUUAAGUGUUCUUCUCUCUUUAAGCAUUGAAUGAAACAUUUUGUUAAAAAUUUGCCAAGAACUCUCCUUUUUGCUUUUCUUAUAUUCUCCAUCUUGUGAAUGGAACCAUACUCAUAAAGUAUCCAAAUCCUGUCAUCCUAAAUUUUAUCUUCUUAAUGGUGUAUCUUAUUCUAAAAUGCAGCCCAUUCAGUUGAUUUUUUUUCCCCCACUCUAAACAUGCCUCAUAUCCAUCACCUUUCUCUAUCUUUAUUGCAGCUGACUUAGUUUGGGCACUAAUCCUUUUGUUCGGACUAGCGUAAAAGUCAUCAAUUUGAGGGAAUGUAAACAUGGGCAAGGCAUUGUGUCUUCCUUCAAUGAGGUUUUUUAUAACAUAUUUAAUAUCGUAUUAGGUGCCAGGGACUGUUCUGUGUUUCACAAAUACGAAUAGACAGUAUUUUAAUCCUGUGAGAACCUUGUAAGUGUUCUUAUUAUCCUCACUUUACAGAUCAGGAAAGUGAAACGUGAAGUAAUGUGCCCAGGGUCACACCGCCAGGACUCCAGUGCAGGCCGACUGGCUCCAGAAUUGAUGCUCUUAACUGCUAUGCUUGACUUCCUGUGUGGACAGACAGACAGACAGACAGACAGACAGACAGACAGACAGACAGACACACACACACACACACACACACACACACACACACACACACACACACACACACACACACACACACACACACACACACACACACACACACACACACACACACACACACACACACACACACAUCAUUUCCAUAUGAUACAGCACAUGUUACGAUUGAGCUCUGCAUAAGGCACUGUUAGGUGUACGGAGGAGGAACAUGUAGCCCAACCUCAAAGAAGCUUUCCUGGGAAACCUGACGCCUGAGCUGAAGCAUCAGAACAGACAACGUCUCCAAGGGGAAGGAACAACAGAAUCACAGGCUGAGGAGUGAAACAGCAUGACAGCUGCAGGGGAAAGUACAAGCAGUUCCGUGUCACCACAGGUCAAAAUUUAUUCAACAAAUUUCUUUGAGCAACUGCCACUUGCCAAGCACAGUUCUUGGCAUUAGAGUUAUAGCUGAGGACAGGACAGCAAGGUCCUGGUUCUCUUGGAGCUUACAGUUCAGUGGGCAAAGAGUAAACAAGAUGUUAUCUAACAGUGGCCAAUGCUUGGAUGACAGGAAGUAUGGUAGUAGUGAUAGCAAACUUCUGAGUGUUAGGUACUGUUUUAAGAAUUAACCAUUUAAUUAUCACAGCAGUUGUCUGAUGUUAGAACUGUUGUUGGUUCCACUUCACAGAAGGGGAAACUGAAAUAAGGAGUUGGUUAAGCAAUUUGCCCAAGGUUACACAACAAAUGAGUGUUAACUGGGAUUCAUCUUGUGUGGCUUCAGAGCUUGGAUUCUUAACUGACCUAUCAUUAAGGUGAAAGAUAAUUUUUCACCCUUAUUAAUAAACAGUUUUUAAACUACAGAAUACUACAGAGAGUAAUACAAUGUGCAUGUUCCCACCGUCCAGAAUUAAAUGUUAACAGUUUGUCAUAAUUUUUUUCAUUCUUUUUUAAAGAAAAAAAAUUCUCAGUAGGUUUGAAGUUUGCUUUCUACUCCUCCCCACUCCCAUUCCUUUUCUUUCUUCCCCAGAGGAAGCCACACUGAUGCCUUUGAUGAACAUCUUCCCUGUCUAUGUUUUUAAGUUGUUAUUUGAGAAGAUAAUAGUAUGGGUGCUGGAGCCAGGCUGACUGAGUUUGAAUCCUGAUUGUGUUAUUCUUGGCUGCAUGACAUGCUGCAAGUUACUUCACCUGUCUGCACGUCAGUCUAUGUGUAGGAUGGGGGAUAAUGAUAGCAUUAAACCCACAAUGGUUAUUGUGAAGGCUAUGUACUUGAGUCAACGUAUGUAAAGCACUUAGAACAGCACCAGGCACCUAGUAAGUGUUCAAUAAGUUUUAAUCAUUAUUUCUUUAAUUAUACAAAUAUUACAUUUGCAUGUAUCCAUAUAAAUGGUUUGGGUUUUUUAAAUACUAUAAAUGAAAUUAUUUUAAUCUUGCUUUAAAAUUUAUUUUUAAGUUGGAAACACGUAUGUAUGUAAGUACUUUGAAGAAUAAAGUAGUUCUAGAAUGCUUGUUAUAAAAACCAGCAAUCUCCUGAUUUCCCCUGUGCCCCACAAAAAGAAACAGUUUCCUCAGGACCAAUUGUUUUCAACACCUGAAACUAUUUUGGUAGGCAUCUCUAUGUUUCUAAAUAAUAUUCUUAUACGAUUGCUUUUUCUUUUUCUAGUUUUUCCAUUGUCUUUUGCUUUCCCACCGUGGAAGAGAAGAGUCAUACCUGUCUCCAACACACCCACACGUCUUGUUUUCUUAUCCUCCCAGCUGGUUAUAAUUUUCAUUACAUCAUUACUCAAUUUUUACAUUAUUGUGACUAUGUGAGAACUAUUGACAGUUGAACUAUUUAGUAUACUAUGGUUAGUUUUCCUUCCCUGUACACUUUUUGCUUAAUAAGUCUUUGUUGUUAUUUGCCUAGUUUUCUAUGUAUUAACUACUACUUGUCCCUAAAUUCAACCCCAGCAGUCCAACACCCUUUUUAGUAUCUUCAAACAUGUAAGAUAUGCUAGCAUUUCAUCUCAAGACAAGGUCUCCUGGAGCAUUCUAGCCUUUGCCAAUUUUGCAUUGGUGUGUACCAAGGUCUUGCAUAGUCAUUUUCUUGAGACCUCCUUCACUGCCAUCCUUCACCUUUCUCUUCUAAUUGUCAUUUAUAUCCUGUGUUGCUUUUGAGAAUUCCAGUGCUGUUCUGAUCUUUGACCCAUUUUCCUGAUUUUGUUUCUCUUUCCUGAAGCUUUUAGAAUCUUCACUCUCCCUGACAUUCUGGAAUUUCCCAGACAUGUCUGGGUGGGUGUCUGUGGGCUAGCAUCCAUUGGCCUCUCCACUCUGGAAAUUCGUGUCCUUCAGUUCUAAGAAAUUUUCCUGAGUUAUUUCUUUAUAAUGUGCUUCCCUUUGUUUUCUUUGUUCUCCAUUUCUAGAACUACUGUUACUCAGAUACUGACCCACCUAGCUUGUUCUCUAAAUUGUGUCAUUUCCUCCCCAAUUUUUAUUUCUGUAUGUACUUUUUUAAAGCUAUUUUUUUCCCUUAGUUUUUUUUUAAAGUAUCAUUUUGUUCUUGUUGCACGGAUGCAAAAUCAACUCUUCUCUCUGAGGAUGUUAAUAAUUAUUUUUUCUUACUUAGUUUUUUCUGCCUGCAUGGACUCUCCUCCAAGCUGCUUUUCCCUUUUUGUUUUAGCCCGUUUAGUAUUACAGCCUUUAAAAAAAAAAUGUUUGGUAAUUCUUUGCUAUCUGUUCAUGUGUAAGAGUGGGACACUUAAAAAGCUGCUUUCAGAAAGUAGGACAAGACUCUCCAGAUAGGAGAGUAGCAGAGCCUUCUCUGGGAAAUACCAUCAGCCCAACAGGAAAAAAGCUAAAGAUAAUAACAUUUGGGGUUCACUUAUGAAACCGUCCAGCCAGGACACCCGAAAGAAUUGUAUAGAUUAGAAAUAAUAAAUACAAAGGUGGGUAAGUGUUGGCUAUUUUAAUAUUCUCUAUUCUUUUAAGAACUGACCCUGAAACUUUGUGGUUUGGUUGGUUAUCCCAACAGAAAUCUCUUAGAAGGAAUGCCUUCAUUUGGGGAUUAUUUUUACAAAUCGUUUUGAGAUAUUUGAGUAAUCACAUGUGCUCCUUGUUUGCUCCCACCUCUGCCCUCCUAACCUCAUUUUCCUUUCAUUAGGCUAAUGUAUUAGGUACAAGAAAUCAGAGGGAAUAGAGUGUUCUUUGGAAGAUUUUGCACUGGUGGCUUCUCCCCGCUUUAGGGGCAGCAGUUAUCUUCAGAGUGAGCGCUUCUUGGUGAUGGAGUCAGGUUUUAUUCUUUCUUUGACUUGUAUUAAUGCUGACUUUUCUCCUGACAGCACUCUUGUUGCAGAAACAGAAACGACUGGUAUAUUGGUCUGUGUAGGACCAUUUGGGUUAAUGAUUCUACCAUUAAUGGCUGAUGUGGCAGGUCUAAGAGGCUACACACUAAAGGUCAUAAGACACCCUGAUUUUCUUACUGAAAUUCUUUUUAUUUCUUUGUGAAAUUCCAGCUGUCUAGAACUUUUUCUGCUUAGUGUUUUGUUUAACAGAAGAAGCAUGGCUUCGGGGAAGGAAGUCUUAUAUUAGCUAAUCCUUUCCUCUUCGUUCCCGAUGAGCUUCAAACUAAGAAAGAUGAAAGAAGCCUGGACUGGAGGGAAAAAGGAAAAAGGGAAGGAGUGAGAUCAUAACUAGAGAGGAACACAGCGUUGAUGAAAAGAUUUUGAUGAAAGUGAAAAAAAGCUGAGCAUGUUUGUAUACUGAAGGAAUGGAGAUAAUGGUAGCUAACAUUUAUUGAAAAGAUACUGGAUUUCAGACCCUCUUUUAACGGCUUUACAUCUGUUAACUCAUUUACUCUUCACAACAACCCUGUGACAUAGAUACUGUUUUCCUCAUCUUCCUAAUGAGGAGAGUUAAUCACAGAGAUUGUUACAUGGCUGACAACUAGUCCAGAGCAGAAACAGAAUUUGAACCCAGGGAUUUUGAUGCAAUAACCCAGCUGUUUACCGUUACCCUAUAUUUCCUCACUAGAACAGUUGGAUGUUGAAGAUUUGGAAGAAAUCAUUAUUAAUGGAUCGAGAUUCCAGAGGGAAGGGUAUAAAAUCAGGAGCAUAGGUGGGAAUGUUGGUCUUGAGUAAGAAUAAGGAUAUUUUAUUCUUGAAGACUAGAAACUGGGGGUACAGUUUGGAGGUGGUAAGUUUAGGGAGGGGAUGGGAUAUUGUGAAGUUUAGGAAAUGAAUACCUGAUUAUGUUAUCCUUUUCCUAUCAAAUAUUUAUGCACGUGUUGAAUUUAUACCUUUUUUAUUACAAAACAUAAUAGAUAUGGAAAAUUGCUUAAAACAAAUGUGUAGCUUAUCAUAAACGGUUUUAAGAUGCAACCAUCACGCAGGUAAAGAAAAUAACACAUUGUUAGCCGAUCCAGAAGCUUUCCAGUUGCUCCAUUCCAGUUAAAAUGCUCUUUUUCUCCCCAAAUUGAUUAUUUAAAAGUGUAUUGUUUAGUUUUCAAAUAUUUGGAAUUUUCCAGCUUUUGAGUUACUGACUUCUCAUUUAAUUCUAUUGUGGUCAAAGAACAUAGUCUGUGUGAUUUUAAUUCUGUUAAAUUUAUUCUGGUUUGUUUUGUUACCUAGCACAUGAUCUAUCUUGCUUAAUGUUUUAGGUUGACUUGAAAAAAAGAAUGUGUAUUCUGUUGUCAUUGGGUGGAGGGUUUUAUAAAUUUCAGCUCGAUAACACUGGUUGCUCAUGUUGUUUAAAUCUUCUAUAUCCUUGUUGAUUUUCUGUCUACUUGUAUUAAUUACUGAGAGAGGAGUGUUGAACUCCCCAACCGUAACUGUGGAUUUGUCUGUUUUUCCUUUUAGUUCUGUCAGUUUUUGCUUCUUACGUCUGGAACCUCUGUUGUUAGUUGUAUACACAUUUAGAAUUGUUAUGUCUUCUUGGUGCAUUGAACCUUUUCUCAUUAUGUAAUAUUCCUCUUCAAUCCUUUUAAUUGUCCUUGUUCAGAGUCUUCCUUGGCUGUUAUUAAUAUAGCUACUUCAGUUUUUUAAAAUUAGUGUUUAAAUUAGUUUUUUCCUAUCAUUUCACUUUCUUUUCCCAUAGCCUUUUAUCUUUCCAUUUAUGUAUCUUCCUUCUCCGACAAGAAAUAUGACUCCCUUUAUCCUGAAUAUAUUUAUUUUCUGAAUUCUGUAUUACAUAAAAAGUAGUUAAGUUAGCCCACACCACCAAAAAAACUAAGCCUACUAAACAGAGUUCAAAUUCUAUUUAUAGUGCUUUUUGUCUUUAGUCUAAAGGUAUAUUGUCUAAAUUCUGUAUUCAAAAGUUACUUGGGUUAAUCUCCUCUACCCUCAUUUACUCUGGUUAUGUUAUUCUUUGAAAUAAAGUUAUAGUUAAGUUCUUUUUUUGUUGUUGUUAUUUGUGUUCAAUUUUAAGGUCCUUCUCAUUCUUGUUGUUUGUGUGUUUUGGAAUGUAAAACAGUGACAUAUUUCAGAAAUUCAUGACUGUGCAAAAUAGGCCCAGAGAAGUGUCACUGCCCCCAUCCCUUCGACUGUGGACAGUGAGCAAUCUCAUUAGUUUAUCUGGUGUUUCUUUUGUUAAAUAAACAAUUACAUGUA